GGGAAUUUUGCGCAAUGGGGGAAACCCUGACGCAGCAACGCCGCGUGCGGGAUGACGGCCUUCGGGUUGUAAACCGCUUUCAGUAGGGAAGAACAUCGACGGUACCUACAGAAGAAGCCCCGGCUAACUACGUGCCAGCAGCCGCGGUAAUACGUAGGGGGCAAGCGUUAUCCGGAUUCAUUGGGCGUAAAGCGCGCGUAGGCGGUUGCCUAAGCGGGACCUCUAAUCUUAGGGCUCAACCUUAAGCCGGGUCCCGAACUGGGUGACUUGAGUGCGGUAGAGGAAAGUGGAAUUCCCGGUGUAGCGGUGGAAUGCGCAGAUAUCGGGAAGAACACCGAUGGCGAAGGCAGCUUUCUGGGCCGCCACUGACGCUGAGGCGCGAAAGCUAGGGGAGCAAAC
rnacentral:rRNA from 1 species